rnacentral:rRNA from 1 species
UUAUCGGAGAGUUUGAUCCUGGCUCAGGACGAACGCUGGCGGCGUGCCUAAUACAUGCAAGUCGAGUGGACAG